rnacentral:rRNA from 1 species
UGCUACAAUGGGUAGUACAGAGGGUUGCCAAGCCGUAAGGUGGAGCUAAUCCCUUAAAGCUACUCUCAGUUCGGAUUGUAGGCUGAAACUCGCCUACAUGAAGCUGGAGUUACUAGUAAUCGCAGAUCAGAAUGCUGCGGUGAAUGCGUUCCCGGGUCUUGUACACACCGCCCGUCACACCACGGGAGUUGGAGACGCCCGAAGCCGAUUAUCUAACCUUUUGGAAGAAGUCGUCGAAGGUGGAAUCAAUAACUGGGGUGAAGUCGUAACAAGGUAGCCGUAUCGGAAGGUGCGGCUGGAUCACCUCCUUU